CCUACGGGUGACUGCAGUGGGGAAUUUUGGACAAUGGGCGCAAGCCUGAUCCAGCUAUUCCGCGUGUGGGAAGACGGCCUUCGGGUUGUAAACCACUUUUGUAGAGAACGAAAAGUCUGUUGAUAAUACCGAUAGAUGAUGACGGUACUCUAAGAAUAAGCACCGGCUAACUACGUGCCAGCAGCCGCGGUAAUACGUAGGGUGCGAGCGUUAAUCGGAAUUACUGGGCGUAAAGGGUGUGCAGGCGGUUUUGCAAGAUGGAUGUGAAAGCCCCGGGCUUAACCUGGGAAAGCCAUACAUGACUGCAAGACUAGAGUGCGUCAGAGGGGGGUGGAAUUCCAAGUGUAGCAGUGAAAUGCGUAGAUAUUUGGAAGAACACCGAUGGCGAAGGCAGCCCCCUGGGACGCAACUGACGCUCAUACACGAAAGCGUGGGGAGCAAACAGGAUUAGAUACUCUUGUAGUC
rnacentral:rRNA from 1 species